GGGCCUCCUGGAGACCCUGGUCUGCUCAUCAGACAGGGGACUAAAGGAGAGAAGGGGGACCCGGGCCCUCCAGGGGCCACAGGAGCAGAUGGAGCAGAUGGAGACUCAGGGAAACCAGGCGGCAGAGGGCCCCCAGGGGCCAAGGGCUACGCUGUGUUUGGUCCCAGGGGAGAUCCAGGUCCAGAGGGAGAGCCCGGCCCCAGAGGCCCCCCUGGACAGAGGGGCCCCCCAGGGCCCACACGCAUCGGGGCCCCAGGAUUCACUGGCCCCAAAGGCAGUGUGGGGGUCCAAGGGUCCCCAGGAGAACCAGGACUACCAGGGGAGAAGGGGGAGCCUUUCAAAUACGACAUCUCUCCAGGAAACCCAGGUCCUAAAGGGUCAAAGGGUCAGAGUGGUAGUCCAGGAUCUGAAGGUCUGGCUGGAUUCCCGGGAAGACCAGGACGCCCAGGACCCAAAGGAUUGAAGGGAGACUCGGGGUUCUCCAUCCAGGGACCGCAAGGGUUUCCUGGGGUCAAAGGAAACAGAGGCUCUCCUGGAGACCCGGGUUUGCCCAGUUUUGGGGUCAAAGGUCGAGCUGGACCUUCAGGACCCCCAGGACGACCUGG
ensembl:lncRNA